rnacentral:rRNA from 1 species
CCCUUAGAUGUUCUGGGCCGCACGCGCGCUACACUGACACAGGCAACGAGCUUUCCUUAACCGAAAGGUUUGGGUAAUCUUUUGAAACUGUGUCGUGCUGGGGAUAGAUCCCUGCAAUUUUUGAUCUUAAACGAGGAAUUCCUAGUAAGCGCGAGUCAUCAACUCGCGUUGAUUACGUCCCUGCCCUUUGUACACACCGCCCGUCGCUACUACCGAUUGAAUGGCUUAGUGAGGCCUCAGGAUUUGCGCUCUUUUGAGUGUGAAGAAUUUGGACAAACUACGUCAUUUAGAGGAAGUAAAAGUCGUAACA